GCGAAGUCUCCGCCGCCUGCCUCCGCCGUCCAUUCCGGCCGCCUGCGUUGAACCUGCCGCCCUUGCCUCCGUCGGCCAAUCUAUCUCCAUCGCCUCCUUCAUUCUGAGCUCAGAAACACCCCAAGCAAAAUCUGUAUACCACUCCAUCCUUGAUUCUUGUGGAAUAAAGAAACUAGUCGAGGACAACAAGAGAAAAGAGAGCAAAGAAGUGUGAUCAAUAAAGGGGAAAAAGAGGAGGAGAUGAGGCAGAAAGAUGAGCAGACCGAUGCUCGAUUUCAGGCUCAGCAGCGUAUGUUCGAGGAGAUAUUGGCUAGGCUUCCACCUGGACCCACUGGACCCACUCCACGCCACUGGACCAUCAUCUUGAUUAUGUUGUGUUUUUGUAUUUUGAAUACUUGAAUAUUUCUAUUAUAUAUUUUUGAACACUUGAAUAUUUUGU